rnacentral:lncRNA from 1 species
UUGCAGUGAGCCAAGAUCGUGCCAUUGCACUCCUGCCUGGGUGACAGAGCAAGACUCCAUCUCAAAAAAACAAAAAAGAACCCUACUGACACCUGGAUUUCAGACUUCCAGCCUCCAGAACUGUGAGAUGUUACAUUUCUGUCAUUUAAACACCCAGUUUGUAGUACUUUGUUGCAACAGCUCUAGUGAGCUAACACAGCCUUGAAGGACAGGUAGGAAUUUGUAAUGCACAGAGAAAGCCAACUGGCCACAGUUGUUGAAAAUAAUAGAAUCGAAGCGCCCCUAUUACUACCACCCCAGGCCAUCACUUUCAAAGCUGUUCAAAAUGAUGCAGCCACGUGAAAAGGCCGGAGGGCCAGGGCGGGAGAUGGGCUCCAGGUGGGCCCAGGCUGCCUGCAGAGCCAGCUUGCCCCACUGCCUGGUUGCCAAGGAGCAUCUGUGGCUAGGAGGAGCUGCCCAGGAAGAAAAUUUGGCCACAUCCCUGCCUGCCUCCCUGGCAAUAGGUGAUGCUCUCUGCCAGCUGGCCCAGCUCCCCCACCACAUACCUGGCUAGGAGUCAGUAGGAAAACAGUGUGUGUUUGUAGGGCUCUGCACUGAAGGGCAUUAGAUCCAUGCAAAGGCUAAUAAAUUAGAGAUAAGUGGGAUUUGUCGAUUUGCUGGAGGUUAGAGCUGCAGGAUCUGGCGUCAGCUCUGGGUCUUUUCCAUGGCCCCAGGCUGGCUCAGGUGUGAGCUGAAGAGGCAAAACUGUCUGUUUAGGUUGCAUUGGGUUCCCCUAAAAGAUCUGUUGAAGUCCUAACCUUGGGUACCUCUGUUUGUGCUAUUUGGAAACAGGCUCUUUGCAGAUGUAAUCAAGGAAAGAUGAGGCAACGCUGAUUUAGUCAGGCCCUAACCCAGUGACUGGUGUCUUCAUAAGACAAGGGAAAUCUGGACACAGACACACAAAGAGGAAAAAGCCAUUCAAAGACACAGAGACACACGUACACAGGGAGAACGCCAUGGGACAAUGCAGGCACAGAUCGGAGUGAUGCAGCUGCAAGCCAAGGAGCGCCAAGAUUGCCAGCAACCCCCUGGGGCUGCAAGAGGUGAGAAGGAGCCUCCCCUAGAGCCUUUGGAGGAAGCAUGCACUGCUGAUGCCUUGAUUCCAGAUUUCUGACCUCCAGAAGCAUGGGAGAACAGAUUUCCCUUGUUUGAAGGCACCCAGUCUGUGGUCCUUCAUCAUGGCAGCCCUCAGGAAUGGAUACAGGCCCUUCCCUGCCUGCCUGGUGGAGCAGCCUCCAAGGGGAGCCUUUGCUAGCAGGAAGAGGUACCACAUGGAGCUCAGACCCGCCUCAGAGGAACUUCUCUCAGCCUCCUCUCUCCGCACACCCGACCAAGGACAGGAAGAAGCCCUUCAUACGGGCAGCAGGCUGGGAGCCAGGGAGGAGGAAAGACCACGAUCCACUCCCUGGUACAUGGCCCUUCUGCACCCCACGGUCUCUUUCCAGGUGCCACAACGAGAAGGCACACAUCCUUGGCACAGCACUUGAGGCCUUUCACCACUGGCUGCACUCACCCCUCCAGACUCACUGCCUUGCACCAACCCUUUUCCGCCCACCCCGCUCUAUGCUAUCCACAGCCUCCACCCCAGCCACCUGAUUCUGCAGGCCAAUGUCACAUUCUUCCAGUCCAGGUUCUAUUCUGGCAUUUCUUGUCAUUAUUUUGCUGAGAAUGUGUCUCUCUUGACUUUGAACUUAUUGAGAGCAGGAAUCAUGACUCAGCCAUAUAUCCCAGCACUUGGCCCAGGGCCUGUCGUUCCCAGGGUAGGUGGUCUAGGUUGAUUGAAGGAAUGGCAUUUAGUCUUUAAAAUGAAAGCAUGUUGCCUAGCUUGGUUAUUUUUGAACUCUAUAAUCAAGGACUACGUUUACCUGAAUAGCCUCUGCAGAACACCAAUUCCGUAAAGUGCUUCACACACACACACCAGUUCUAUAAUUUAAUACGUUUUGGAAAGGCUACAUACUACUACAGCCUCUUACAGAUUAGCAAUGUCCAUGAGCGCACUAAAGGCUGAGACAUUCUGCAGUAAAGAAACCUAUUUCAUUUUGUUUAACCAAGUAUUUCUCAAAUUUAUUUGAUCAUAUGUGGCAGAAAAUGCUGUGUCUGGCAUUCUUCAUUUCCCUCUUCCUCCUUUAACAUGGAACUCCUGAUGUCUUUAGCUUGGCACAUCGCCACCCAGAAUAAAAACUACCUUUCCCAGCUUUUCC